AUUCCAGCUCCAAUAGCGUAUAUUAAAGUUGUUGCGGUUAAAAAGCUCGUAGUUGGAUUUCUGCCGAGGACGACCGGUCCGCCCUCUGGGUGAGCAUCUGGCUCGGCCUGGGCAUCCUCUUGGAGAACGUAGCUGCACUUGACUGUGUGGGGCGGUAUCCAGGACUUUUACUUUGAGGAAAUUAGAGUGUUUCAAGCAGGCAUACGCCUUGAAUACAUUAGCAUGGAAUAAUAAGAUAGGACCUCGGUUCUAUUUUGUUGGUUUCUAGAGCUGAGGUAAUGAUUAAUAGGGAUAGUCGGGGGCAUUUGUAUUCAAACGACAGAGGUGAAAUUCUUGGACCGUUUGAAGACAAACUACUGCGAAAGCAUUUGCCAAGAAUGUUUUCAUUG
rnacentral:rRNA from 1 species